ACGGCCAUACCAUGCUGAAUAUAUCGUUUCUCGUUCGAUCACCGAAGUCAAGCAUCUUAGGGCACGGUCAAAACUUAGGAGGGUGACCACCUGGGAGCACCGCGUACCGUU